GUGCUGGGAGCCGGGAAGACCCCCCGAACCGUUCCCAUUCAGCUGCCCUUCGUCUUCGCUUUCUUCACUUUUGCCUCUUCUGCGUUGCCAGCCAGCACCUGGUCUCAAAGCUGAGAGAAAGCCCGGGUCUAGGAGCGUGUCGCGCUCUGGUCCAGGAAGAUUCGCUGGGGUGGAGAGAAGGGGGAGGGCCCGGGCAAACAGUCGCUGCCUCAGCCGGGGCCGGGGUCCGGGGAGGGGAAGUUCCUGGCACCCCGUGGACUCGCGGCCUGCGGCCGUCCCCCCGGAGCUGUUGGCCCAUCGGGGCUCGCGGGAGCCUGCCACCGGCGCCUCCCACCGCGGCCCACGCGGGCGGCGCGCGGAGGAGGGGGCGGGGGCAGCGGCGGCUGUAGCGACCGCGACCUGGGCGGGCGGACUAGUGUGACGGGCCUCUGGGCCGCUGUGGAUGGUUUCUAAAAUGAUCAUUGAAAACUUCGAGGCCCUCAAGUCCUGGCUGAGCAAGACUCUCGAGCCCAUCUGUGAUGCAGAUCCAUCAGCCCUGGCAAAAUAUGUUCUCGCUUUGGUAAAGAAAGACAAAAGUGAAAAAGAAUUAAAGGCGUUAUGUAUUGAUCAACUGGAUGUAUUUCUUCAAAAAGAGACACAGAUAUUUGUGGAAAAACUUUUUGAUGCUGUGAAUACAAAGAGUUAUCUACCUCCUCCAGAGCAGCCAUCAUCAGGAAGCUUAAAGGUAGAAUUUUUUCAGCACCAAGAAAAAGAUAUAAAAAAAGAAGAGAUCACAAAAGAGGAAGAGCGAGAGAAGAAGUUUUCUAGAAGGCUAAAUCACAGUCCUUCUCAGUCAAGCUCCCGAUACAGAGAAAAUAGAAGUCGUGAUGAGAGGAAAAAAGAUGAUCGUUCUCGCAAAAGAGAUUAUGAUCGAAACCCUCCUCGAAGAGAUUCAUACAGAGACCGGUACAAUAGAAGACGAGGGCGAAGUCGCAGUUACAGCAGGAGUCGGAGUCGAAGUUGGAGUAAAGAGAGGCUUCGUGACAGGGAUAGAGAUAGAAGCAGGACUAGAAGCAGAAGCAGGACCCGAAGCAGGGAAAGGGAUCUGGUAAAACCUAAAUAUGACCUGGAUAGAGCAGAUGCAUUAGAAAACAAUUAUACUCCAGUCUCUUCGGUACCUAAUAUUUCAUCUGGCCACUACCCUGUACCUACUUUGAGCAGCACUAUUACAGUAAUUGCUCCUACUCAUCAUGGUAAUAAUACUACCGAAAGUUGGUCUGAAUUUCAUGAAGACCAAGUGGACCAUAACUCGUAUGUAAGACCACCAAUGCCAAAGAAACGGUGUAGAGACUAUGAUGAAAAGGGUUUCUGUAUGAGAGGAGACAUGUGCCCUUUUGAUCAUGGAAGUGACCCGGUAGUUGUAGAAGAUGUCAAUCUUCCUGGUAUGCUGCCUUUCCCAGCACAGCCUCCUGUUGUUGAAGGACCACCUCCUCCUGGACUCCCUCCACCACCACCAAUUCUUACACCCCCACCUGUGAAUCUGAGACCCCCAGUACCACCGCCAGGCCCAUUACCACCCAGUCUACCACCUGUCACAGAUGAUAUUUCUUAUUCUUUGGUUUUGACAGGACCACCACCUCCACUUCCUCCUUUGCAACCAUCUGGCAUGGAUGCUCCCCCAAACUCUGCGACCAGCUCUGUUCCUACUGUGGUAACAACUGGCAUCCAUCACCAGCCUCCUCCUGCUCCACCCUCUCUUUUUACUGCAGUUUUUGUAUUACCAGAUACAUAUGACACAGAUGGCUACAAUCCUGAAGCCCCAAGCAUAACAAACACUUCCAGACCAAUGUAUCGACACAGAGUGCAUGCACAAAGGCCUAACUUGAUAGGACUAACAUCAGGGGAUAUGGAUUUGCCACCCAGAGAAAAGCCUCCUAAUAAAAGCAGUAUGAGGAUAGUAGUGGAUUCAGAGUCAAGGAAAAGAACCAUUGGUUCUGGGGAGCCUGGAGUUCCUACAAAGAAGACUUGGUUUGAUAAGCCAAAUUUUAAUAGAACAAACAGCCCAGGCUUCCAGAAAAAGGUUCAGUUUGGAAAUGAAAAUACCAAACUUGAACUUAGAAAAGUUCCUCCAGAAUUAAAUAAUAUCAGCAAACUUAAUGAGCAUUUUAGUCGAUUUGGAACCUUGGUUAACUUACAGGUUGCCUAUAAUGGUGAUCCUGAAGGUGCCCUUAUCCAAUUUGCAACAUAUGAAGAAGCAAAGAAAGCAAUAUCAAGUACAGAAGCAGUGCUAAAUAAUCGCUUUAUUAAGGUUUAUUGGCACAGAGAAGGAAGCACCCAGCAGUUACAAACUACUUCUCCAAAAGUAAUGCAGCCUUUAGUCCAGCAGCCCAUUUUGCCUGUUGUGAAGCAGUCAGUCAAAGAGCGGUUGGGUCCGGUACCUUCAAGUACUGUUGAACCAGCAGAAGCCCAGAGUGCCAGUUCAGAACUUCCUCAGAAUGUAACUAAGUUAUCUGUGAAGGACAGGUUGGGUUUUGUAUCAAAGCCAUCUGUUUCAGCAACUGAAAAGGUGUUGUCUACAUCUACUGGCCUAACAAAAACGGUGUAUAAUCCAGCUGCUUUGAAGGCUGCACAAAAAACCUUACUUGUUUCCACCUCUGCAGUUGAUAAUAAUGAAGCACAGAAAAAAAAACAGGAGGCACUGAAACUUCAGCAGGAUGUAAGGAAAAGAAAACAAGAAAUUUUAGAAAAGCACAUUGAAACACAGAAGAUGUUAAUUUCGAAACUGGAGAAAAACAAAGCAAUGAAGUCUGAAGAUAAAGCAGAAAUAAUGAAAACUUUAGAGAUUUUGACAAAAAAUAUUACCAAGUUGAAAGAUGAGGUCAAAGCUGCUUCUCCUGGACGCUGUCUUCCAAAAAGUAUAAAAACCAAGACUCAGAUGCAGAAAGAAUUACUUGACACAGAACUGGAUUUAUAUAAGAAGAUGCAAGCUGGAGAAGAAGUCACUGAACUUAGGAGAAAGUAUACCGAAUUACAGCUGGAGGCUGCGAAACGGGGGAUUCUCUCAUCUGGCCGUGGUAGAGGAAUUCAUUCAAGAGGUCGAGGGGCAGCUCACGGCCGAGGCAGGGGUCGAGGUCGAGGUCGAGGUGUGCCUGGUCAUGCUGUGGUGGAUCACCGUCCCAGGGCAUUGGAGAUUUCUGCAUUUACAGAGAGUGAUAGAGAAGAUCUUCUUCCUCAUUUUGCGCAAUAUGGUGAAAUUGAAGAUUGUCAGAUUGAUGACUCUUCACUUCAUGCAGUAAUUACAUUCAAGACACGAGCAGAAGCUGAAGCAGCUGCAGUUCAUGGAGCUCGUUUCAAAGGGCAGGAUCUAAAACUGGCUUGGAAUAAACCAAUAACUAAUAUUUCAGCUGUUGAAACAGAAGAAGUUGAACCUGAUGAAGAGGAAUUUCAGGAAGAGUCUUUGGUGGAUGACUCAUUACUUCAAGAUGAUGAUGAAGAAGAAGAGGACAAUGAAUCUCGCUCUUGGAGAAGAUGAUUUGACUGAUCAUUGAUCUGCAUAUGAUAGAACUCUACCUGUGUUUCAUUAGUAUUAUCUAAUGUACUUUUACAUAUUUGUAAAAACAAUUUUUGGUAAAAUGUGAUGAAGAUGGAUUUCACAAAUAGACAAAAGAGAAGAAAACUACCUUCUGAAUCCUGUAUUUUGAAAGAUUGAUGUUUGAGUUUUAUUUCAGUAAACAAUUGGUAAAGACAUCACACUAGAAACAUAUGCAAUGUUUUUAUUACAUACUUCUACUGAACAUUACAGAAUUCUUUGGGUUCUUUGUAAUUUAAUGAAUAGGUCUGAAGACUUAAUGACCAAUACUUGUUAUAACUUAGAGGAUUUUGUUUUACUCCAAAUAAGGAAUGCAUUUGCAUUUAAGAUCUUAAUGAAUGUUUUCAAAAAUGAGUAGGUAACAUAGUACUCUAACUAAAGUCUCCAAGUUAUGUAUUCAUAAUAUUACAUAGUAGUAUGCUUAGGCUUUACUAUGUAUUAGCCUUUUGUUGGACUUGUGUAUGUAUUUUACAAUAUGGGUUUUAAUGAUAACGGUGUAUGACUGCUUUGCAUUUGAGUCCUUAUGCAUUCAGAUGUUAAAAAUAAAGUGGAAUGGUCUCUUGAAAAGAAAAGAAAAGAAAAAAGCAAUGACAAAAAAAAAAGACAAUGUUCCUUGAUUUAAAAAAAGAAAAAAAAAAAAAAGAAAAAAAAGUUAAAAUAAAUAGACCAUUCCAGAUGGUGAUCUACCCUUCCCCCCAAUUAUCACAAAAGGAGCUAUAAUCACUAACUUAUUCUUAAUAAUAAUAAUAAUGGUUACCAGUACCUUUACAAUAAUGUUCAAUCCAUUGUUUAAAAUUUAUACCACUUCAGUUUGGUUUGAUCCUAUAAACUUUCAACAGAUGUCUUAAAUUAAAAGCAGGCUGAUUAGUUUGGAACCAGACUUCAAGUAGAGCUAACAUUUGGUGAAUAAGAAAACAUCACAUUACAUUUUGGAUGUAUGAAAGAAAACUUGACCAUUUGAAGAUGUAUGAAUAAAGAAAUGUACUAUAGAUACUACUUUAGGAAAACACUGUUUGUAGUCGUGAAAGAUGCCAAAUUGGCAGAGGCUCACGUUUCUUCUCUUUACACCAAACAGCAGAGAGAGAUCAUCAUUGCCUGAAUUUAGCUUUGUGACUACAACAGCAAGACCUGUUCCUGUCUGGAGACGACUGUUAUAAUAAUAUGAUACUAUCGUUUUAUGUUUGCCCUUUAUCAUUUUGAAUAGAUGUUUACAUGUACCAUAAUUAGCAUUUUAUCUUUACAGUUCUUUUAGGGUACAUCUGAGUCCAGAAGUAAAUCUGAUUGUGUGCUUUGUCUGACCUUAUUCUUAAAUGUUUUCUCCCCUUUAUAGCCAUUUAUUUUUAAACAGUCUAAGAAGGAAAAAAAAGAAAAUCCUCUUGGUUUUCCUAACCUGAGAUAAGUUUUCAGUCUCAGCCAAAUUGAAAUUGUGUCUAGGAAGUCUGUAAAGCCAUGAUACUAUGUUCAUUAGCAUGAACAACUUAGAAUGAUGAAAAUGAUUAAAAAGUUAAACCUUGGUUUGGCUUUAAUUUUCCUGGGUUUUUAGGAUACAUUUCUGGAGUUAGGAUAGUCACUUAAAACAAUUUUGAACAAUUAGUAAAAUACUUUUUUCACAUGGUGAUAACUUGCCUGUUUCUUCUAAAUAUACUUAUUGAAGUCACUGCCAAGGCCACUUACCCAAAUAAUUUUUAAAAAACUCUUAACUCUUCAAAGUAAACAAGGAAAAUAAUUUUCUUUCUUUUAAAGUAGUAUAAAAUGAUCUGUGGAUUGUAGAUAUUGAGAAAUAUCUAUUAAAUGUCUAAUUUACACAGUUUUUCCUUAUUUUCCUCAGUUGCAACCAAGAUAUCAAAGACAAUUUUAAAAGCAAGGGGAAAUAGUGUUGUGUGUCUAGCAUUGUUAAAACUAUAGUUUCCCUGCCUUAAAAGGUGUAUGUCCGUAUCAUUUAUUUAUAAGCAAUAUGGCUUGGAAUUAUUUAUAAAGAGUGUGAUUAAAUUUUAUUCUAAAUAUUCACCCAAAAUACCCUCUUUAUAAUGGGCACCAUAAAGUUUUCAGAAAACUAAUUUCUUAGUAUUCCUUCAUAGAUUCUCAUUAGCAUUUGAGAAGUCGGAAGUUACACUUGAUAGCAACUCCUUUAGAAAAGUCCAAAUUAUACUUGAUUCUUUUCUCCCUUGUUUUUUGUGUUUUUUUUUAGUUUCAUUCAGCCAUGCUCAUAUUUUCACCUUUUUGUGCAAAGUUAACUAUUCUGCAAGCACUUUUUCUUGAGUAUGCAUUGCAUUUGUCUUCAUGAAAAAAAGAAUGAACCCGUCAGACGUAAUGUAAGUUAUCUAUUUUGAUCCACGUUAGUUGGAGACAGCAUGGUUAAUGUAGGCUUGGUUUAAAGGAAGGUCUUGUUAACAUAAUUAUGACCUUAUAGCCUACAGGGCAUUUUAAAAAUUGGACUUCUCUUUUAGUUCACAUUUAUGAACAAACAUAUAGUUGCUGGGAGUUCACAAAUACUUUCCCAGAUUAGUUCAGUAGUUUUUUCUUUUUAAGGAAAGAUUCUCUGCCUGUGUAAUAGAAUAGUUCUAACCUGCUGGGCUAAAAACCCAAAAAACAUUCUCUGAAGGGACCAUACUUGCUGUUAACAGUUUUGGUUGGUUAAUAGAUGUGGAUCAUAUCCCACCGCUCUCAAUUUUAUUUUGUCAUCUUCCUCCCCCCCCUUGCUUUUAAAUUAAAAACAAACUAAAUUGAACAUGCCAUUGGGAAUCAGAAGUCGAGAUGAUUUAAUUCUCAUUGAGAUCAUUGUACUUUCUGAAAAUUGCUGUGAGAUCUGGUAGGUCAGGUACAUAUUUGAGUUCCCAUAUGUUUAUUAAUUAAAAAUAGGGAUUUUCAUUAUUUCAUUUUCCUGAAGAGGAUUCUUACGGAGCUAUGUGUAGAUAACUGUACAGAAUCACUUUUGUGUAAUUGAGUGAAGCAGUUUACCUCUGCAUGAUUGCAUUAUGGAAGCCUUUUAUAUAUCUUUAUAUUUUUCAAUAUACUUAGAUUUUACACUAUCAGCUGCCCUAGUCAUGCUAUAUUUGUUUUUUUUUAAUAGAGUUUAUAAAUAUUUGUGCUCAAAAUACAGAUCAAUUGAAUAUUUUUGGUCUUGUUUACAAGAUAAAUAAUACUUUAAAGUGAUGCAGCCCCUCAAGUGUCUUAGGAAAAAGUCAUUGGUGCUACAAAACCUUUCAAUAUCAUUUUCAACCUGUUAUCUAGACUUUGCUAGGCUUAAAUCUAUGAUUGCUUAUAACUUAAUCUAAGCUAGCAGCAUAAUUAUAAAAGUGGUCUGCGGUGAGUUGGGUAAAGAGCCCAGCCAAUUAGAAACAUCCCAUAAUUUAAAGAUAAGAUGGAGAAUGACAUUAUACUAAUUUGUGUCCCGCUUCCCCAAAAGAAAAUAGUUUCUUCAGUUUUUCAUUAGCUCUUUUGAUAAAAGGAGUGGUGUGUUAAUAUGACUAGAAUAAAGAAAAUGAUACAUUCAGCAUGGCUCAGUUUUCCCACAUUUCAAAUGGAAAACUUUUCUAGUCCUAAAAUAUGGUGUAAUCCUGUUCUGCUUUAAAUUCCCAUCUGUCUUUUACUCAACAGGAGGCAGGGUAAUUCUUAAAUAUUUAUAGAACAUUUGAUAAGUUCUAAAGAGAUGUAUUAUUUACAUUGUACAAGUUUUGUGUUGAUGUGCAGAUUGUUUUCUACAUCUGCAAGACUUCAUUCCAGCACCUUAGUGAAUGUUCUUAAGAUACAAUUUUUAAGUAUCAGCAAAGCAUUCAUAGAUGUUUACUUUUGAUUCUCAGAAUCCUGAACCUGUUUUGGGUAUGAUGUUACUUCACAACAUGUCUGGCACAAGAUUUCCUUUAAUAGUGGUUUAGUCUAACUCAAUUUCUGUGGAUUGUUGAACCGAAAAACACCAAAGGAGUUCUUUCUUGUCUGGAGACUGGAUUGUUCCAGUUUUUAAUACCUGUGCCCAUAAGUAUCCCAUUUCACGAAUGUGUGUUGGCAUGGGGGAAAAAUUCCCUGCUCUUUGAGUGGAGCGAAAGUAAUUGGUUAAGCUGUAGCAGCUUUUUUUGUUUAUUUUUUAAAGUGAUAAUAAAACUUGAACUGAAAAUGGUAAAACUUGAACUAGAAAACUACUCUUGUAUGCUUAGAAUGUUUAUAGUAUUACGUGUUUAUGUGAGGUUGUCAACAUUUUUAUUAUUUAUAGUUGAAUUAUGUUUUGUUUGUUAAAUAUCCAUAAUGUUUAUUAUUUUUAUAUUUUGAAAAAUUUUAAAAUAAAAUAGUCUUACUAAAAGCAGUUGUUAACUUUUUAAAAUUGUCUUGCAUUUUGCAUCAAUUAUAGUAACAUAGAAUAGAAAGGAAAACUUGCAGCCCUUGGGCACUGCACAAGUAGAAACAUGAAGUGCUUAUACUGUCAACUUCCAAGGCCAAUGAAAGUUUUUGGAACUUCCCUCCAUAAUUUUCAGUUUUCAUCUGAACAUUUCUUCUCCUGAUCUAAUUUGAUAUACUUUUCCAGCAUUC